CCUACGGGGCGCAGCAGUGGGGGAUAUUGCACAAUGGAGGAAACUCUGAUGCAGCGACGCCGCGUGAGGGAAGACGGUCUUCGGAUUGUAAACCUCUGUCUUUGGGGAAGAAAAUGACGGUACCCAAAGAGGAAGCUCCGGCUAACUACGUGCCAGCAGCCGCGGUAAUACGUAGGGAGCGAGCGUUGUCCGGAAUUACUGGGUGUAAAGGGUGAGUAGGCGGCAUGGUAAGCCAGAU
rnacentral:rRNA from 1 species